ACCACGUGCAGUGCUGACCCCAGCUCAGUUCCCUGAAUCACCUUCCCUCCACAUGACACACAAUGACCAGUCUCCUGUAAGUGGACAAAAACCCCUCUGGGCUGUGCACCCAGCCUCCUCUCCUUGCCUCUGGAGGCUAUUUUCACAUAAAUCAGGAAGGCAGCAGCAGCAUUCGCCACCUGUCAGCACUCAGAGGCUGGUGAGUAACCAGCACACAGAGACCCAUUUCCUCUCCAGCCAAACCUGUUCGUUUAUGUCACAGAAGAGAUGAAGUUUCCUUGAGAACUGGACAAAACAGAAGUUUCCCUCCCACCAUGUUGGUGCCCAUACAUACCACACUCAGAUCUCAACAGCGGCUCCGGCAUAUCUCAGACUGCAGAACUGGACAGUUCUUCUGCAGUCCUGGGUGGCCCACGGAGAGGUUUUACAAGGAGAACGGAAGGAAAAGUCGAAAAAAACUACAAGAUCACGGAGCAGCAGCUCGGGGCAGAGUACAGAGAACACGCACCUAACACAUGGCCGUGGAGAAGGUGGUGACUGUUGUCCUUGAGGCAUACCUGUUCAUCUGGUAUUCUAAAGCUAGAGACUCGGACUGUGACUGAAACCCGGGCCUGCUCCUGUCCUGCUGUUGCCUGCAAUGCUGUGCCAUUCAAGUGUACAGAGUCCACCCUCCUUAAACAAAAUAAAACCCUGACACAAAGGCACCUCAUAGUUUAACAUUUACUCAAAGUUCUCUCUGAAACAAUGGAAGAGUGCACUCUUUCUUGGUACUUUACAGGCAGGAGACAGAGUCUCUUCACGUUGGAAGGACGUCAGCUCCAGGUUCCAGCUCCUCCUUUUGUUGAUCUGCUCUUACACAGAUCACCUGACCUAUUUAGGCCAGCUUAAUCAUCUGUGACACUCAGGCCUGGCUCAGGCAUGACCCACGCAAU